rnacentral:rRNA from 1 species
UACAGAGGUCUCAAGCGUUGUUCGGAUUCAUUGGGCGUAAAGGGUGCGUAGGUGGCGCGCUAAGUCAGGUGUGAAAUCUCGGAGCUUAACUCCGAAACUGCAUUUGAUACUGGCGUGCUUGAGGACUGGAGAGGAGACUGGAAUUCACGGUGUAGCAGUGAAAUGCGUAGAUAUCGUGAGGAAGACCAGUGGCGAAGGCGGGCCUCUGGACAGUUCCUGACACUGAGGCACGAAGGCCAGGGGAGCAAACGGG